rnacentral:rRNA from 1 species
GACAGAGGGUGCAAACGUUUGUUCGGAAUUACUGGGCGUAAAGCGCGUGUAGGCGGCUAAGUAAGUCGGGCGUGAAAUCCCACGGCUCAACCGUGGAAGUGCACUCGAAACUGCAUAGCUAGAGUCCUGGAGAGGAAGGUGGAAUGCUUGGUGUAGAGGUGAAAUUCGUAGAUAUCAAGCGGAACACCGGUGGCGAAGGCGGCCUUCUGGACAGUGACUGACGCUGAGACGGCGAAAAGCGU